rnacentral:tRNA from 1 species
GUCCUUGUAGCUCAAUUGGAUAGAGCAUUCGCCUUCUAAGCGAACGGUUGCAGGUUCGAGCCCUGCCGGGGACG